rnacentral:lncRNA from 1 species
CCCCUCAUGGUACCUCAUAUCUCUCUUAUAACAACUCUUAUGUCUAAAUUUCCUUAAUGUUACAAGAAUUUAGUCAUCCAUAGUUUCCUGACUUAUUCUCUCCAAGAUCCAUCAUAAUUUCCAUAAUUCCUUUCUUCACCCUUUGUCUUUUCAUUAAAAAUAAAGAACACUAAUACACUGAUAAUUGAAUAGUAAUUGACGAUAGUAACUUAACAAUAGUAAACA